UCUCGGGAGGCAGGGACAAGUUUUAUUGACAUUUGUAUCACCAGCACUUAGUAUAGCACCUUCUAAAAAGUUGCUGUACUAAGAUCUUGUCGCAGAUCGUGCUCAUGCAGACCAUCUAUUAUGGCUCUCUGGGCCUUUGGCUGGCACUGGUGGACGCGCUAGUGCGAAGCAGCCCCUCGCUGGACCAGAUGUUCGACGCCGAGAUCCUGGGCUUUUCCACCCCUCCAAGCCAGCUCUCCAUGAUGUCCUUCAUCCUCAACGCUCUCACCUGUGCCCUGGGCUUGCUGUACUUCAUCCGGCGAGGGAAGCAGUGCCUGGAUUUCACUGUCACUGUCCAUUUCUUUCACCUCCUGGGCUGCUGGUUCUACAGCUCCCGUUUCCCUUCGGCGCUGACCUGGUGGCUGGUCCAAGCCGUGUGCAUUGCACUCAUGGCUGUCAUCGGGGAGUACCUGUGUAUGCAGACGGAACUCAAGGAGAUUCCCCUCAACUCAGCCCCUAAAUCUAAUGUCUAGAAUCGGGCCUUUUGGACUCUCUACUGGCACUUGGGGCUCCCAACACCUUGGGCUGCUCAGACCCUCCACAUGAGAUCUAGCCCAGGUCUGAGAGGAACCCUGGAAAUGUGAAGUCUCUGUUGAUGGAGAGCUAGCGAGGCCCCGCCAAGAAGGCAAGUAGCAGGAUUACAGCUGCAAGAAUAGCCUCUAUCUGCCGAAGCCUUGGUGUCUGGGAAGUCAGAAAGGGGGACCUCUUUGAGGGUAAUAACAGAUUUGGAACCAUGUUACCCUUGAGCCAUCAUAUCUAUCACCAGCGCGUUUAAAAAAAAAAAUCAAGGAUAUCUGAUUGGAGCAAACUACUCUUAUAGU